GGUUAAGUAGUUUAAAAAGAAUAGGGUUUUUGUAAAUCUCUGGUACUUAGAAGAGUCUUGACCU
rnacentral:tRNA from 1 species